AACAAAACGCUGGCGGCGUGCCUAACACAUGCAAGUCGAACGAGAAAGUUGGCUUCGGCCGAUGAGUAAAGUGGCGCACGGGUGAGUAAUGCGUGGAUAAUCUGCCCUUUAGUUGGGAAUAACGUACCGAAAGGUGCGCUAAUACCCUGAUAAUACUGCAUAACUACUGUUGUGUAGUCAAAGAAGGCCUCUGUUUACAAGCUUUUGCUGAAGGAUGAGUCCGCGUACCAUUAGCUGGUUGGUGGGGUAAUGGCCUACCAAGGCUACGAUGGUUAGCUGGUCUGAGAGGAUGAUCAGCCAACUGGAACUGAGACACGGUCCAGACUCCUAGGGAGGCAGCAGUGAGGAAUAUUGCGCAAUGGGGGCAACCCUGACGCAGCAACGCCGCGUGAGUGAGGAAGGUUUUCGGACCGUAAAGCUCUGUCGAGCGGGAAGAAAUGUAUCAUGGCUAAUAUCCAUGAUACUUGACGGUACCGACUAAAGAAGGA
rnacentral:rRNA from 1 species